GAUGAACGCUGGCGGCGUGCUUAACACAUGCAAGUCGAACGAAGCAGCUUAUUACGAUCCCUUCGGGGUGACGAUUUGUUGACUGAGUGGCGGACGGGUGAGUAACGCGUGGGUAACCUACCUUGUACAGGGGGAUAACAGUUGGAAACGACUGCUAAUACCGCAUAAGCGCACAGCAUCGCAUGAUGCAGUGUGUAAAAGUUUUUCGGUAUAAGAUGGACCCGCGUCUGAUUAGCUAGUUGGUGAGGUAACGGCCCACCAAGGCGACGAUCAGUAGGGGUUCUGAGAGGAAGGUCUCCCACAUUGGUACUGAGACACGGACCAAACUCC
rnacentral:rRNA from 1 species